ACGGGGGGGAAGGAAGGGAAGGGGAGCCUUGAAAAGUGCUUUUAUAUUGUCGGUUUAGAGAGAGUUAGGAGGGAGGUGGCUUUUAUGAAUCCCUUCUACAACCAGGGUUCUGAAAUGGUGACUUGUAAAUGGUGGGAUGGAAUGUCAACUGCAGUGUGUUAAAAAACAAGAUUAACAACUAAGAUAAUGAUAAUGAUCCUUAUCUUCUUGUCACCAAGGUGAGAUUGACCACUCGGAUAUGGCCACACCUUGACGGCUCUGGGUGGGAUUGAUCUCAUCCCCCCCCCCCGGCUAUGCAGUGAGGUUCCAGGAAUUGUGUGCUUGUCACUUCAGGGAAAAAUAUGACUAUGAAAACAAUUCUGUGUAUGUAAAGUGCUCUGAAAUCACUGUUUGGCAGAAGCACUCUGAGGACAAAUCCCGAGUCUUCUCCAGCACUGAAUAAAGUGUACCUGCCUCAAGGGUUCAAUUAAACUAUGAAGUGUAAGUUUCUUUGUUUCAGAUUUGGCACCCCAGAUGGGACUCCUCUCUGCCCGGCUGUGGGACCCGUUUGAGAUGGGGACUCUCUUGGGUACCCCCUGGGAUUUCUGCGGAGAGACUCCUCUUCUCAGCUGGAUCUCUGCAGGGACAGACAAGGACCAUCCGAUUGAAAGUCUUUAUCUUAUCUCCCUCCUCUCCUCCGACUGAGGGGGUAUCACUGAGGGGGUAUCCGGUCUCUCAGCACAAGGCCCGGCCCAUGCAACGAGAAGUUACUUACUUUGGAUUCGAGAUCUCCAGAGGACAGAGAGAGCUCGUGACAGCCUGGAAGGAAGCUGUUUGCUGCUCACCCAUGCCAGGGAUGGCCAAGGCACUCAGAACCUUUCUGGGAAUGACAGCCUUCCUUAGUGGAGUCACUUUGGAACCAGUAAUAUGCGACCGACUGAAAACGAUGGAGACGGUAUACUCCAGCCAUCCAGAUCUAAAAGAGGAACUGCUUAUGGAUGUGGAAGAUUCCUGGUACACCGAUGAAAGCAGCUUUGUGAAGCAAGGACAUUGCAAGACUGGGUAUGCUGUGAGCACCGCCAGAGAAGUGAUAGAGGCCAAACCGUUACCCCAGGAACAUCAGCCCAAAAAGCUGUAAUGAUCACCCGAACUUGAGCAUUGGAAUGGACUCCUUACCACCCAAGGAAGAUAUGUUAAACGUGCAGCAGCAAUCUUAAGACUGCUGAAAGCUGUAAAUCUUCCAGAAGAAGUGGCUAUCAUGUGCCACAAAGGUCACCAGGAAGGUUCACGAGGCAAACCUGGUGCGCAAAUACUGCAGCGUAGGAGUGAAGCCCAGUGAUCAGCCACUGACCGUGUCAAAGUCUCCCGACGUCUCAGGUCCCUCUUCUCGGUACUGCAUGGGAAGCGAAGGCCCCUCCUUCAGCUGCCCGUGCUCAGGCUGAACGCACAGUCUCUCCUGGACCCUCUCUGGGCCACGUUGUUUGCCACCUUUGCUGCGGGACCGGGAGCAGUGUGUCCAUAUUCGGGGACCCUUUGGCCUGUUCUGCCCACACCCAGGGAAGCCGGAGGAGCCCUGUGUAAACCAGCAUUGUCUGCAUUGAAGCUUUUGAUCUGUCGCUGGGUGCUGUAUGCGUUUUCCUCUUUGGGUGUUUCAAAGGAAGAAAGAACGAGGGAGAGACCAUCUGAGGGUGUGUGGCGAUUGUGCUGUGAGCCAGGGUCUGGCACUGGGAAUGCCGCGCUGUGCAACACAGGCUCCGAUUUGGCAGCCCGCUUCGUUGUGUGGGCAGUUGAUUGACUUGGACAGGCUCGCUGGUGUGCCAGGGGAGUUUGCUGGAUCGCGAUGGUGCGCGGAUGUUCAGCAGGGAAGUAAUCUCGCUGUUGAUGUGUCUGCCACUGUAAAAGUGCAUUUGUGUGGGAUUUGAAUUCCGUGUUAUUUUCCUGUACCGGGUCAGUUUUUCCUUUCUAGCCUUCCCAUAUUGCAAAGCUGAGGUUCUUCCCGUCAGGACAGCUUCCGCCAUCUGGAGAACGUUUGCCAGGAGGUGUGCGGGAGCAGGAGAAAGCUGCCUUUCCUCUGGAAAUGCCACCUCUGCCUUUCAGCUUGUGUUUGGAGGGCAGAUCAGGUGAGUGAGCUUUGCGGACCAUAGACGGGUCUGAAACUGUCCCCUGGGCGGCGUGGGAAGCGCAGAGCCCGCAGCCACGGCCGAACUUCAGCACAGCCGUGUUUGCCUGCCCAGCAGCGUCCGUGCUCCGCCGGCGUCUUGGUCAGGGUUGCCCCGAGGGAAGGCACAGUUUGCAACGCUCCGAAGCCCGGCGGCGGGCGAGGGUUGUGCGGGUGGCGCUGUGGGAGCUGCUGCUCCGGCCGAUUCGGUGCCCGUUCGUGUCAAUCCCCAAAACGGAUAAAGUGGUGAAACCGGCACCAAUAGCUUCGCUUGGCUCAGGGCGGCGGCGUUGUGGCCGCAGCGCGGUCCUGCGGCGAAGGGUUUAAAGAUCCCCGCGCCCCGUCCCCGCCGCUUUCAGGAGCGGGGCUCAGUGCUGCCGUGCCGCGGCCGCAGCGCGGUACUGCAGCCCGGGGGCGCGCGGGGCCGGACGAGCCGGGCAGGUCGAGGAGCGAGCGGGCGGGCGGUGCGUUUCAAAGCUCGGCUCGGCUCCGCCCGGCCACACCGCCCGGCACGACUCGGCUCGGCUCUGCUCUGCUCUUCGGUGCUCUUCCGCCCACCGCCGCCUGCGGUCAGUGGGAUGCAAGCUGAGGCUGGGAGAGGGACAGCGCCCCGUGUCCCCCCGCGUCUCCCCCCAGAGCCCCCCUGUCCCUGCCCGGGAGGGGAUGCCUGCGUCCCCCGACAGCCCCGUGACUGCGGGCUCGGCUCGGCACGGGACGUUGUGGCCGCCCCAUCCCUGGAGGUGUUGGAGGUCAGGUGGGACGGGGCGUUGGGCAGCCUGGUUUAGGGGGAUGUCGCUGCCCGUGGCGGGGGGGUUGGAACGAGAUGAUGGUUAAGGUCCCUUCCAGCCCGCACUCUUCUAGGGUUCUGUUAGGGGAGGGAAAUUGAAUGGGCUGUUGACAUUUUUGGCUGGAGGAGGAGUGGAGAUCCAAAAGUCUUUCUCUGGUGUCGCCAGCGGGGUCCAGCGGAGGGGCAGUGCUCACCGGUGGGCGCAGCUCGCCUCCCCCUUGCCCCCUUCCUCUGCCCAUCGCCUGGGCCGACCCUUCUCGAACCACCCCAACAGGCGCUGAUGGGGGACGGAUGGGCCUUAUUGUUCUGAUGGGAGGGGGUGGAUGGGCCUUAUUGUUAACUGCUUCCACGGCUGGGGGCCGCAUCCCACGGCUGGAUCGGGAAGGGGGGUGGGGGGAGCGCGUGGGAUGCCAGGGCUGGACCCUUGGGCUAUAGGGGGACAGUAUCCCGGGGCAGGAUCGGCGAGGGGGUGGCAGGAUGCCAGGCUGGAUUCCAGGGCAGGAUCGCGGGCUGUAUCCCAGGGCUGGGGGCCAGAAUCCCUGCCCGGGUCCCGGUGCCCGGGCUUGACUGGGGCGGGAGGGGGGUACGGGACACAGUGUG